GCUCCAGUGGCGCAAUCGGUUAGCGCGCGGUACUUAUAAUGCCGAGGUUGUGAGUUCGCGGCUCACCUGGAGCA
rnacentral:tRNA from 1 species